UACGAAGGGGGCUAGCGUUGUUCGGAUUUACUGGGCGUAAAGCGCGUGUAGGCGGGCUUGUAAGUUGGGGGUGAAAGCCCGGAGCUCAACGCCGGAAUUGCCUUCACGACUGCAAGCCUGGACCCAUGGAGAGGCAAGUGGAAUUGCGAGUGUAGAGGUGAAAUUCGUAGAUAUUCGCAGGAACACCAGUGGCGAAGGCGACUUGCUGGACAUGUUGUGACGCUGAUACGCGAAAGCGUGGGGAGCAAACAGG
rnacentral:rRNA from 1 species